AACUGUUUUCCUUUGAGGAAUAUUGAUGAUCCCACUGCUUGAGUAAUGGAAACCAGCUUGCAGCUGAUAGUUAUUUUUUGUCUUUUUUCCUGUUCUAUCCAUUGUCCUAGGUUUGGAAUUUCAGCUGGGCAGCUUCGAUCCCACCACCUGUAGCCACUGAGGUUCACAGGCUCUGUUUGAGGUGUUGUGUUCAAUUGUGCUGGGUUGGUUUUGCUGCUUAUUGAGUGAUGAAGAGCAACAUAUUAGCUACUGAGAUAUUUUGCAGAAAAAGGAAGAGAUGUCUUCAGCUCAAAUGCUAUCAAACUUGUGAAAUAAACAGCCUUGUUGCUCACACAAAGCCUGUUUGGUAGCCUCUUCACAUGGACACACGUGACAUUUGGUGCUGAAGACCUGGGACAGGAGGACUCCAGGAGACUGGUCCCCUGUCCUUGCCCUCACUCCAUGAGGAGAUCCACCUACGACCUCGGGUCCUCAGACCAACCAGCCCAAGGAACAUCUCAUGAAUUUCAAAUUGGAUUCCCAGCCAUAUGAAAACACCCUAGCUGGACGAUCAGUUCUUAUUAUGAAUCUGACCUCUCAAACUCUACAACCUCGAUGGACUGGACCCUACUUAG
rnacentral:sRNA from 1 species